rnacentral:lncRNA from 1 species
AUUGAUUAUUGCAAAACUAUGUGUACAUGUAAAUUAUGUUGUUAAAGUAAUUUGUCAACAGAGGUGUCAUUUCAUUAAAUGCAAUCGUCAAUAUGUUGAUCGAAAAUGGAUAGAUGGAUAUUUUGAUGUACCUUAUCAUGUGAUAUAUUAGGUCAGUGUAUCCCGGACACGAGGACAAUCUGCGUUAACGCGCGUUUACUACAAACAGUAAACGGGCGUUUACUUU